rnacentral:rRNA from 1 species
GACGAACGCUGGCGGCGUGCUUAACACAUGCAAGUCGAACGGAAAGGCCCUGCUUUUGUGGGGUGCUCGAGUGGCGAACGCGUGAGUAACACGUGAGUAACCUGCCCUUGACUUUGGGAUAACUUCACGAAACUGGGGCUAAUAUCGGAUAGGAUCUCCUGCUGCAUGGUGGGGGUUGGAUAGUUUCGGCGGUUGGGGAUGGACUCGCGGCUUAUCAGCUUGUUGGUGGGGUAGUGGCUUACCAAGGCUUUGACGGGUAGCCGGCCUGAGAGGGUGACCGGGCACAUUGGGACUGAGAUACGGCCCAGACUCCUACGGGAGGCAGCAGUGGGGAAUAUUGCACAAUGGGCGGAAGCCUGAUGAAGAAACGCCGCGUGCGGGAUGACGGCCUUCGGGUUGUAAACCGCUUUCGCCUGUGACGAAGCGUGAGUGACGGUAAUGGGUAAAGAAGCACCGGCUAACUACGUG